rnacentral:rRNA from 1 species
UUGGAAGUAAAAAGCGUAACAAGGUUUCCGUAGGUGAACCUGCGGAAGGAUCAUUACUGAUUUGCUUAAUUGCACCACAUGUGUUUUUUAUUGAACAAAUUUCUUUGGUGGCGGGAGCAAUCCUACCGCCAGAGGUUAUAACUAAACCAAACUUUUUAUUUACAGUCAAACUUGAUUUAUUAUUACAAUAGUCAAAACUUUCAACAACGGAUCUCUUGGUUCUCGCAUCGAUGAAGAACGCAGCGAAAUGCGAUACGUAAUAUGAAUUGCAGAUAUUCGUGAAUCAUCGAAUCUUUGAACGCACAUUGCGCCCUUUGGUAUUCCAAAGGGCAUGCCUGUUUGAGCGUCAUUUCUCCCUCAAACCCCCGGGUUUGGUGUUGAGCAAUACGCUAGGUUUGUUUGAAAGAAUUUAACGUGGAAACUUAUUUUAAGCGACUUAGGUUUAUCCAAAAACGCUUAUUUUGCUAGUGGCCACCACAAUUUAUUUCAUAACUUUGACCUCAAAUCAGGUAGGACUACCCGCUGAACUUAAGCAUAUCAAAAGGGGGGAAGAAA